GACCUAGUGGUGCAACGUUGCACAGCCGCCCUCUUUUCGGGGACCUGCAUGAGAAUAAAGCAGGAGGUCCUGGUUCGAAUCCGGGUUAGGUCA